rnacentral:rRNA from 1 species
AUUGAACGCUGGCGGAAUGCUUUACACAUGCAAGCCGAACGGCAGCACGGACUUCGGUCUGGUGGCGAGUGGCGAACGGGUGAGUAAUGUAUCGGAACGUGCCCAGUCGUGGGGGAUAACGUAGUGAAAAUUACGCUAAUACCGUAUACGAUCUAUGGAUGAAAGCGGGGGAUCGCAAGACCUCGCGCGAUUGGAGCGGCCGAUAUCAGAUUAGGUAGUUGGUGGGGUAAAGGCCCACCAAGCCAACGAUCUGUAGCUGGUCUGAGAGGACGACCAGCCACACUGGAACUGAGACACGGUCCAGACUCCUACGGGAGGCAGCAGUGGGGAAUUUUGGACAAUGGGCGAAAGCCUGAUCCAGCCAUUCCGCGUGCAGGAUGAAGGCCCUCGGGUUGUAAACUGCUUUUGUACAGAACGAAAAGGUUUCUACUAAUACUAGGAGCUCAUGACGGUACUGUAAGAAUAAGCACCGGCUAACUACGUGCCAGCCGCCGCGGUAA